rnacentral:rRNA from 1 species
CAUAAGUAACAGGUCGUAGACCCGAAACCAGGUGAUCUACCCAUGUCCAGGAUGAAGGUAAGGUAAUACUUACUGGAGGUCCGAACCCACGCACGUUGAAAAGUGCGGGGAUGAGGUGUGGGUAGCGGAGAAAUUCCAAUCGAACUUGGAGAUAGCUGGUUCUCUCCGAAAUAGCUUUAGGGCUAGCCUCGAGGUAAAGAGUCAUGGAGGUAGAGCACUGUUUGGACUAGGGGCCCUUCUCGGGUUACCGAAUUCAGAUAAACUCCGAAUGCCAUGUACUUAUACUCGGGAGUCAGACUGCGAGUGAUAAGAUCCGUAGUCGAAAGGGAAACAGCCCAGACCACCAGUUAAGGUCCCCAAAUAUAUGUUAAGUGGAAAAGGAUGUGGGGUUGCUUAGACAACCAGGAUGUUGGCUUAGAAGCAGCCACCAUUGAAAGAGUGCGUAAUAGCUCACUGGUCGAGUGACCCCGCGCCGAAAAUGUACCGGGGCUAAACAUAUUACCGAAACUGUGGAUGAACCUCUUUAGAGGUUCGUGGUAGGAGAGCGUUCUAAGGGCGGUGAAGUCAGACCGGAAGGACUGGUGGAGCGCUUAGAAGUGAGAAUGCCGGUAUGAGUAGCGAAAGAAGGGUGAGAAUCCCUUCCACCGAAUAUCUAAGGUUUCCUGAGGAAGGCUCGUCCGCUCAGGGUUAGUCGGGACCUAAGCCGAGGCCGAUAGGCGUAGGCGAUGGACAACAGGUAGAGAUUCCUGUACCAGUGCUAAUUGUUUAACCGAUGGGGUGACACAGAAGGAUAGGGAAUCGCACGAAUGGAAAUGUGCGUCCAAGCAGUGAGUGUGAGAAGUAGGCAAAUCCGCUUCUCGCGAAGCAUGAGCUGUGAUGGGGAAGGAAAUUAAGUACGGAAGUUCCUGAUUUCACGCUGUCAAGAAAAGCCUCUAGGAAGAGUAGUACUGCCCGUACCGCAAACCGACACAGGUAGAUGAGGAGAGAAUCCUAAGGUGAGCGAGAGAACUCUCGUUAAGGAACUCGGCAAAAUGACCCCGUAACUUCGGGAGAAGGGGUGCUCUAUUAGGGUGCAAGCCCGAGAGAGCCGCAGUGAAUAGGCCCAGGCGACUGUUUAGCAAAAACACAGGUCUCUGCAAAACCGUAAGGUGACGUAUAGGGGCUGACGCCUGCCCGGUGCUGGAAGGUUAAGAGGAGUGCUUAGCUUCGGCGAAGGUACGAAUUGAAGCCCCAGUAAACGGCGGCCGUAACUAUAACGGUCCUAAGGUAGCGAAAUUCCUUGUCGGGUAAGUUCCGACCCGCACGAAAGGCGCAACGAUCUGGGCACUGUCUCAACGAGAGACUCGGUGAAAUUAUAGUACCUGUGAAGAUGCAGGUUACCCGCGACAGGACGGAAAGACCCCGUGGAGCUUUACUGCAACCUGAUAUGGAAUGUUUGUACCGCUUGUACAGGAUAGGUAGGAGCCGAAGAGACGUGUGCGCUAGCAUACGAGGAGGCAAUGGUGGGAUACUACCCUGGCUGUAUGACCAUUCUAACCCGCCACGCUUAGCGCGUGGGGAGACAGUGUCAGGUGGGCAGUUUGACUGGGGCGGUCGCCUCCUAAAGAGUAACGGAGGCGCCCAAAGGUUCCCUCAGAAUGGAUGGAAAUCAUUCGCAGAGUGUAAAGGCACAAGGGAGCUUGACUGCGAGACUGACAAGUCGAGCAGGGACGAAAGUCGGGCUUAGUGAUCCGGUGGUUCCGCAUGGAAGGGCCAUCGCUCAACGGAUAAAAGCUACCCCGGGGAUAACAGGCUUAUCUCCCCCAAGAGUCCACAUCGACGGGGAGGUUUGGCACCUCGAUGUCGGCUCGUCGCAUCCUGGGGCUGUAGUCGGUCCCAAGGGUUGGGCUGUUCGCCCAUUAAAGCGGCACGCGAGCUGGGUUCAGAACGUCGUGAGACAGUUCGGUCCCUAUCCGUCGCGGGCGCAGGAAAUUUGAGAGGAGCUGUCCUUAGUACGAGAGGACCGGGAUGGACACACCGCUGGUGUACCAGUUGUUCCGCCAGGAGCAUCGCUGGGUAGCUAUGUGUGGCAGGGAUAAACGCUGAAAGCAUCUAAGCGUGAAGCCCCCCUCAAGAUGAGAUUUCCCAUUUCUUCGGAAAGUAAGAUCCCUGAAAGAUGAUCAGGUAGAUAGGUUUGGAGUGGAAGUGUAGCGAUACAUGGAGCGGACAAAUACUAAUCGAUCGAGGACUUAACCAAAA